rnacentral:misc_RNA from 1 species
GUUUAAUUAUAACUUUUUUAAAACUAGAAAAGUCACAUGCAUUUUAAAUAUUUAAUUGUUAUUUUUUAAGAAAAUUCGAAUUUGGUAUAUUUUUAUGUUAAAACCAAUAUCUUUGACUUCUAUUGGUAUUUCAUCGAUAUUUCGAUAUAUCAUUGAAAAACUAGAUAUAUACAUGGAAAUCAAUAUUAAAGACCCUGUAUGUACAUUAUUCUUUUUGAUAAGAUGAUGUUGUCCCACGGCCCAGGGCGGGCUGCUUCGCCAUUGAAGUCUAUUUUGUGUUGUUCAGGUUAAUGGUGAAGAUUUAG